rnacentral:tRNA from 1 species
ACACUUUAUGAGACGCUUGGCGGACUGCUAAUCCGCAUAUCACUGGUUCAAGUCCAGUAGAGUGAA